AAAUCCCCCACCAUAUCUUCCAUGCCGGUCUUGCAAUUUCUAGGAUUUGAGUGGAGGUCGCCGCCGAUGAGUUGUCUGCGACCUGGCCGCGCCUCCUGCUCCAUGCUCGAGUUUCCCCUCGAUAUAUAGAGCAACUCAGCCUUCCGACGAACGGCCGCCACCAUGAGAAAGUAGGGGAGAUGUAGGAGCCGGGAGCAUCCCAGCGACAUCAAGAUGUCAGCGGCGGAGCGGCCAAUCGCCACCAGUGGCGGAUAUGCAUCUCCACCAGCCACUCCCGCCCCCACAUGAUCUCCUCCCUACUCGAUCCCCCUGCCCGAGCUCUCAUCGGCCGAGCCCUCCUGGCCGCGAGCUCCUCUCUCCGAGCUGCCCACGGACGCGGCGGCGGCUGUGCUGGAUGCGCGCGAGGGCGGCGGCGAGGAGCGCGCCGGGGAAACUAGCAGGACGUACUGCACGAACUCAGCGUCCAACGACGAAGCAUACCGCGGAGGCAGAAGACCGAGCGCCGGUUGUUGUAGGGCUCCCGUGAGAGAUCCCAGCCGGUGCAGAGCAUCUCCACCCAGGCGUUGGGCAGUGAGGUUGUGCAAUUGGGAGAUCUGCAUAAGGUUGUGGUCUUCAUCCUGAUUGAUGGCAAAUCCGAGACAUUAUUAUAUAGCCAAAGAUCACAGCGGCAUGUACAAUUAUACCAUGUUCAGGUUGUGGUCUUCAUCCUGAUUGAUGGCUCAUACUUGACAUACGCUGAGAUGUAUGAGCUGCAGUUGCUCUUAGUACGAUACUCCACGCUUGCUGGGAUGUGCUUGCAGUCCCUCUUAGCACAACAAUACAACUUGCUCUUUUAGCAUUUUUUUUUUCUCCAGAAGGAUUGGUAUAGUGCAUGUCUGAAAUUAUUAUUUGCAAAUACCAGCGAUUUUUGCAGCGUGAGGAUAGAACUGUUUUUAUAUUUAGUGAUGAUUGGUAUUUGGCAGGGAUUCCCUUGCUCAAUCAAUUAUUAACAUAGGGGAUUCAGAUAUAUAUCAUGUUUUGCUUCCUUUUAAUACCUAUCUGUGGGGAAUCCUGCAGUGUUAGUUGUUUGUCAAGAGAAGUACCUAAUUUCAAGUCCAAUGGUUGGUCAUUUCGAUACAAAAUAUGUGAGCAAUGUGUGUCCGGGUUAAAUUGUGCCAAGUCGUCAUACUGGCACUUAUAGGGUUGGUGUCUGGUAUUUUUUUGGUCAUCACACUGGCUCUUGGGGCCAUUGGGGCAUUACAUAUGGUGGUACUGCAUGCAGAUAAAUUAUGAAAUCCCGUCUUGAUUGUGCCAAACUUAUUUUCUGAACGUAUGAUAAUAUACAUGUCAGAACUGUCAAGACCGACCAUUUUUUUCUCCAGUAAGGUUCAUUUGUGUUUUGAUGACAUGACAAGGCAAGGUAAAAUAUUAUAAAUUUACCCUGGCUUUUAGACAUUCACGGAUUGACUAACAUGACUUUUCACCAGGUUGUUUCCCACUGACGCUUUAUACUUCUCUAUCUCAAAAAUUAAUUACGUCAUGAGGAGAUAAGUUGUUGGUUGAUAGAACCAUAGUGUGAUCAGCCAUUUUCAUGGCAAAUAAGAGCUGAAGUGUUUCUUCUUCUGAAAGUUGGAUAUGUAAUGCUCUUAUAUUCAUGUUAACACACUCAGGUUUCUAUGUACUUUGUUAUUUACUCAAUUUUUUUAAUAUAGCCAAGUUUUCAUGUGUGAUAGCUCCACUUAUAUCCAUUUGUCUGCAAGCGUUGUAUGUAUUUCCAGUGGCUGUGCAUUAGAUUUUCUCUUGGUGUAACAUUUAAUCACUAUAACGAUUUUGAGUUAUUUGAUGUGAACAUACAUAUUGUUUUUAUGUCUAGCUGAACACCGCCUCCUUUAAUUUUGUGUGUGUAGCUUCUGGGAAUUAGUGUCAGAAAAUCGUCAAUAUCUUCAAACUGAGCUCAGCCUCAGUUGGUACAUCUUCAAUAGUUAAUUAUUUACAGUCACAUUGUGAUGGACUGAUACACUAGAAGUGUGACCAACCUUAGCAAUUGUGCGCAAUGGGUGCAAUUUUUUAUGUUUAAAUUGGCUAAUUGAGCAAGAGAAUUUUUUUCUCUUGUGGCAUAUGCUAAUCCAAUGAGUUUGGUAAUUUAAGAGAACCUGAUGUGUACGAUUUUUAAAACUGUUCUUCGCCAUUGUUCUACGUUCAAAAUCUGUUGGUAUAGCCAUGGGGAAUAUCCUGAACAGUCCUAUCAGUUGUUGAAUUUUUCAUGAUGUGUUUGCACUCUUUCCUAGGUGACAACCUAGAUUUAUCUUCUCAAACUUCAAUACCGUUAUGGUUGCUACUGAGGUAGACGCUUUCAUGAUUCCUGUUGUGAUUGACGAUGCUACUGGUGUGUAUACUUAUAUGUGGUUUCGAUAUAAAAUCCUGAGUUAUUGUGGUGAAUCCAGAAAUGAUUCCCACUGAUUACGGUUGCCACUCCGCUCCUUCCUCCGUGCGGCGCAUGGUUUUGAGAGAGCUGACAGGAAUGAACAAGAAAGAAGAAAUGUGGAGAGCACCAGUGCUAGGCCUGCAGCCAUGGUGACCUUCAACGCCUGGGAGUGGCAAGCUGCAUGUCCAAUGCUCUACAGGACAAAACAACACAUCGUUGUGCACACCACAUGCAUAUGUUGGCCUUAGACGUCAGUUGCCCAAAUUCAAGAGAGGAGCCAAGGUAUUUUUGUAUACAUUGUGCUGUUAUUCAGCAAGCAACCUACAUCUUUUAUCGCUUCACUAGAAUGGUGCUAAAUCACUUUUUCUUAAUAUGUAACCCGUGUCUUUCAUCAUUUUUACUCUAUUCUUAAUUGUACUCCACGCAUGUACAUACUACUUUGAUUUGCUUCACGCCCUCAUAAGAACAAUUGUUCCUUUAUACUUUUUAAAUGUUUGUCAUAUGCCUAGAUUAUUAUUUUUACUACUUUGAUGCCCCUGCCCUGAAAUUGUUUGUGCCAAUUUUUUUUCUUUACUGCUUAUUCAAAUCUUCGAAUUCGACUACCUUUUUUCCAUUUCACACACAAUCUAAAUUUUCAUAUGGAGUAUUAUAUUUGUUGUGUUUGUACAGGCCAAGUAUGAGGCUAUGAGUCAGGAACGCUAUGUGGUCGACUCCCCCUCUCAAUUUGUACAUUAUUUCAAAUCUAUUCCAGUGAUAUGACCAUUCAUUUGUCUACGGAUGAAAAGAUCAUAAAGGCACUAGGAGCCGAGAAGGAUUUUUUGUGUGCAUCAACUGGUCUUUUAUCGGUUCUCAAUAUGACACAUACUGGUCUACCUAAGAAGUGCUUAUCACAUUACUAA